CUGGUGUGUUAGAUUCAAGAUCGUCCUGUUGUUGGAAAGAUGUGUGACGAUCUACGGGGAUCAAGUUCUCCUGCCCACUUUUAUUUAUUUUGUGAAGUUGAGCACUUAAAAGAGAUCAGUGCUCACUGUUAACGGUUCAAACUUUGUCGUCAUGACAUGCAGAUUAAUAAAAAUGUAUGCGUGUACAUAGGUGAUUUUUAACAACACUGCAACAAUGUGAAGAAUGAAGAGGUUCUGAAUGCACUUUAGGAGUUUUUGCUGUUUUGGCUCCUGGAGCGCCCCGUUCCAGCAGAGGUCCGGUCUAGCCCCUGUUAAACACCUGGACCAGAUCAAGCACUUCAGGAUCUCUACAGACUUCCAAGUGUGUUGCUGCUGAACUCUACUGGAAGGUAGUCUUCCAGGGUGAGGGCUGGACACAAUGCUUGAGCAUCUUUGAGGCUGGAGUGGUGCAAUGUUUUGUCUCAUUAAGUUCGGUUUUCAAACACUGGGAAUAAAAAUGUUACAUAGAA